UGAGGAAUAUUGGUCAAUGGUCGCAAGACUGAACCAGCCAUGCCGCGUGCAGGAAGACGGUCCUAUGGAUUGUAAACUGCUUUUAUACAGGAAGAAACCCUCCCACGUGUGGGAGCUUGACGGUACCGUAGGAAUAAGGAUCGGCUAACUCCGUGCCAGCAGCCGCGGUAAUACGGAGGAUCCAAGCGUUAUCCGGAAUCAUUGGGUUUAAAGGGUCCGUAGGCGGUCUUAUAAGUCAGUGGUGAAAGCCCAUCGCUCAACGAUGGAACUGCCAUUGAUACUGUAAGACUUGAAUGCUUAGGAAGUAACUAGAAUAUGUAGUGUAGCGGUGAAAUGCUUAGAUAUUACAUGGAAUACCAAUUGCGAAGGCAGGUUACUACUAAGUGAUUGACGCUGAUGGACGAAAGCGUGGGGAGCGAACAGGAUUAGAUACCCUGGUAGUCCACGCCGUAAACGAUGGAUACUAGCUGUUCGGCGCAAGUUGAGUGGCUAAGCGAAAGUGAUAAGUAUCCCACCUGGGGAAUACGCACGCAAGUGUGAAACUCAAAUGAAUUGACGGGGUCAUAGCUGUUUCCUG
rnacentral:rRNA from 1 species